AACGAACGCUGGCGGCAGGCCUAACACAUGCAAGUCGAGCGAUAUAGCGGCGGACGGGUUAGUAACGCGUGGGAAUGUACCCUUCACUACGGAAUAGCCUCGGGAAACUGAGAGUAAUACCGUAUACGCCCUUCGGGGGAAAGAAUUUCGGUGAAGGAUCAGCCCGCGUUAGAUUAGGUAGUUGGUGGGGUAAUGGCCUACCAAGCCUACGAUCUAUAGCUGGUUUGAGAGGAUGAUCAGCAACACUGGGACUGAGACACGGCCCAGACUCCUACGGGAGGCAGCAGUGGGGAAUCUUCGGCAAUGGGCGCAAGCCUGACCGAGCCAUGCCGCGUGAGCGAUGAAGGCCUUAGGGUUGUAAAGCUCUUUCGCCAGGGAUGAUAAUGACAGUACCUGGUAAAGAAACCCCGGCUAACUCCG
rnacentral:rRNA from 1 species